rnacentral:lncRNA from 1 species
CAGCCUUAAAAUCCUGCAGCCUCCUCCAUGAUUUGUAUGUUGAGAGAAAGGUAAUUUCCAAAAUGCUGAUAUGGAAAAGCACUUUUAUGCUUAUGCCCUGCUUCCAGGACUCAGCCAGGCAACUGGAGACCAGAGCACACGUAGGAUAACAGAGCUAAUGAGUGUCGACGUCAACAGCAAUAAGUUUGGAAUAGCCAAAGACCAUUGACCACUAAAGCAGACAGAUAUUCUCAUUUCAAAGAGACUGG